UACCAGUGAAAUUAUUAUCAGCUCCCAAAGAUAUCGGCAUUCCUGGAGGGCAAAGGGAAGGCUGUGUUGUCUCAGGUGACUUGAUGUUGUCACUAAGCUACUGAGGUAGGUGCUGCCAACGUGAACCACUAAGAAGCGCUG
rnacentral:lncRNA from 1 species